UACGUAGGGGCCGAGCGUUGUCCGGAGUUAUUGGACGUAAAGCGCGCGCAGGCGGCCUCGCGCGCCCGACGUGAAAGCCCCCGGCUUAACCGGGGAGGGUCGUUGGGGACGGCGGGGCUUGAGGGCGGGAGAGGUCGGUGGAAUUCCCGGUGUAGUGGUGAAAUGCGUAGAGAUCGGGAGGAACACCUGUGGCGAAGGCGGCCGACUGGGCCGACCCUGACGCUGAGGAGCGAAAGCGUGGGGAGCAAACAGG
rnacentral:rRNA from 1 species